GAGCGGCGGACGGGUGAGUAAUGUCUGGGAAACUGCCUGAUGGAGGGGGAUAACUACUGGAAACGGUAGCUAAUACCGCAUAACGUCGCAAGACCAAAGUGGGGGACCUUCGGGCCUCAUGCCAUCAGAUGUGCCCAGAUGGGAUUAGCUAGUAGGUGGGGUAACGGCUCACCUAGGCGACGAUCCCUAGCUGGUCUGAGAGGAUGACCAGCCACACUGGAACUGAGACACGGUCCAGACUCCUACGGGAGGCAGCAGUGGGGAAUAUUGCACAAUGGGCGCAAGCCUGAUGCAGCCAUGCCGCGUGUGUGAAGAAGGCCUUCGGGUUGUAAAGCACUUUCAGCGGGGAGGAAGGCGAUAAGGUUAAUAACCUUGUCGAUUGACGUUACCCGCAGAAGAAGCACCGGCUAACUCCGUGCCAGCAGCCGCGGUAAUACGGAGGGUGCAAGCGUUAAUCGGAAUUACUGGGCGUAAAGCGCACGCAGGCGGUCUGUCAAGUCGGAUGUGAAAUCCCCGGGCUCAACCUGGGAACUGCAUUCGAAACUGGCAGGCUAGAGUCUUGUAGAGGGGGGUAGAAUUCCAGGUGUAGCGGUGAAAUGCGUAGAGAUCUGGAGGAAUACCGGUGGCGAAGGCGGCCCCCUGGACAAAGACUGACGCUCAGGUGCGAAAGCGUGGGGAGCAAACAGGAUUAGAU
rnacentral:rRNA from 1 species